rnacentral:lncRNA from 1 species
UCCCUCCGGCGUGUUAACGUUGCCCAGCAACUUUCGAUAGCAGCCAAACGUUGGCGUCGUUGCCAUGGCUCCAGCCCGGCUGCGCCUUCGGUGGUUGAGAGCCGCCUCUGUGGCGGUGUCGACGGUGAUGAGCUGUCGAGCGCAGCACAAAGACAAGCCCCAACAGCGCCACCCCACGACAUAUAGCACAGUAGCGGCUGUCGCCGUCCGACAGCUUGAACGAAC